UUGGCUCAGAACGAACGCUGGCGGCAGGCCUAACACAUGCAAGUCGAACGGUAGCAGAAAGAAGCUUGCUUCUUUGCUGACGAGUGGCGGACGGGUGAGUAAUGUCUGGGGAUCUGCCCGGUAGAGGGGGAUAACCACUGGAAACGGUGGCUAAUACCGCAUAAUCUCGCAAGAGCAAAGUGGGGGACCUUCGGGCCUCACACUACCGGAUGAACCCAGAUGGGAUUAGCUAGUUGGUGGGGUAAGGGCUCACCAAGGCGACGAUCCCUAGCUGGUCUGAGAGGAUGACCA
rnacentral:rRNA from 1 species